rnacentral:rRNA from 1 species
UACGGAGGAUGCAAGCGUUAUCCGGAAUUAUUGGGCGUAAAGCGUCCGCAGGUGGUUUAUCAAGUCUGCUGUCAAAGCGCGAGGCUUAACUUCGUAAAGGCAGUGGAAACUGAUAGACUGGAGUGCGGUAGGGGCAGAGGGAAUUCCCAGUGUAGCGGUGAAAUGCGUAGAUAUUGGGAAGAACGCCGGUGGCGAAAGCGCUCUGCUGGACCUGCACUGCACGUGAGGGAACCGGGAAGCAUAGGGGAGUCAACACGGGGAUUAGACCGUA